GAAGGGCAUUUUACUUAAUGUUAAGACCACAGUACCAACUUUUGUUUGUCUCUUUGUGUAGAUCAUACUGCCAUGCCAUGUUAGGCUUCUUUCUUAGUCUAUUGACAUAUUUGUGGAAGAAAAAGGGUAAACCACAAAAAAAUAAAAAUGCACUUAGUUUAUGAAUUAUGAUUGUUUGUCUUAGGUUUCUUCACCAAUUCUCAUUGUCAAGAGAGCAGGGUUUUAUGCUUGGACACACAAAAGCUGGAGAGUUCGAGAAGAGUUUGCACGUACAGUCACAUCAGCGAUUGGUCUUUUUGCAUCUACUGAGCUCCCUCUUCAGCAUUUUGCAAAUGUUGAAUGAUCCAAAUCUUGUUCCCUCCUCAGGAGAUGUAUACUCGGGCUGGGCCUCAGUUUCGUGAUGAACUUCAGCGUCAUCAUCUUCCCACAUCACUGGUGAGAUAAAACCUGCUAACCUUAAUCCCAAAAGGAACAGUCCAAAAGCCAAGAAUUCCACUCGGGAGGUGUCUCUAUUUGCAGGUUUAUGUGCUUCAAUUUAAAACUUCACAAAUAUUUUGGUGGUUGUUGACAAAUUUAUGAAUUCAUAUGAAAAGGUCUUUCUCCAUAUCUUAUAUUUUGUUAUUGCCCAUUCCUACUUGGUAAGAUGCAUUGCAUUACUGUAUGCAUCCAGUAGUUAAAUAUCUAAGACUAUUUUUACUAGUUAUUACUGUAAAUCUCCUAGAGCUACCAUACAACUUAAGUCUCUUAUUGAAUGAUAGGUUGUGGAUUCGCUUAGUAGUCAUCCCAUUGUUCGGCCAAUGCCACAUCAGCAACAAUCUCAUACAUUUUCAUCUCAAGAAGUUCACCUUUCAAAGAAAGAGAAGAACAAGAAAAAGAAGAACUAACAAGGUGAUUGCUUUUAGUGAUGAGGAGGGAGUGAGAUUUCAAUCUACUUUCUUACUAAUUGGUUGUAACGCUGCUUGUUCUAAGUAAACUGACAAGUAGACUUUGUUCAGUGGUCUGACAGUGCAAAAUGUUCUAAAAGAGAACUCUAUAGAAAUUUCCGAGGAAAGCUUCUUUGAGCUAAAGUAUGAUCCGGAGUCUGUUUGGGGUUAUAUCGAGGUAUUCAGUCCAUGUUGAAUAUCCUGUGGUUAUUCAAGCUACACAACUUUCUCCGUUUGGUUUCAAUUUGGGAAUGUUUGUUAAAAAAAUUUCAAAAAAAAUUAAACACUAGUUUGGUGGGGGAAAAAAAUGAAAAUAUCUUAAACACUCGUCAUUUUCAUAUGUUUUUCUCUUUUGUACUGACUUUAU